rnacentral:rRNA from 1 species
UUGCCCUAGUAACGGCGAGUGAAGCGGCAACAGCUCAGAUUUGAAAUCUGGCGUCUUUGGCGUCCGAGUUGUAAUCUGUAGAGGAUGCUUUUGGGUAGCCACCGGUCUAAGUCCCCUGGAACGGGGCGUCACAGAGGGUGAGAAUCCCGUAUGUGACCGGAAGGGCGCCCUCUACAUAGCUCCUUCGACGAGUCGAGUUGUUUGGGAAUGCAGCUCUAAAUGGGAGGUAAAUUCCUUCUAAAGCUAAAUACCGGCCAGAGACCGAUAGCGCACAAGUAGAGUGAUCGAAAGAUGAAAAGCACUUUGGAAAGAGAGUUAAAAAGCACGUGAAAUUGUUGAAAGGGAAGCGCUUGCAACCAGACUUGUUGGCGGUGUUCCGCCGGUCUUCUGACCGGUUUACUCACCGUCUGCAGGCCAGCAUCAUCUGGGGCCGCUGGAUAAAAGCGAGGGGAAUGUGGCUCCCCCGGGAGUGUUAUAGCCCCUCGUGCAAUACAGCGAGCCUCGGGUGAGGUCCGCGCUUCGGCUAGGAUGCUGGCGUAAUGGUCGUAAGCGGCCCGUCUUGAAACACGGACCAAGGAGUCUAACAUCUAUGCGAGUGUUCGGGUGUCAAACCCCUACGCGUAAUGAAAGUGAACGGAGGUGGGAGCCUUAGGGUGCACCAUCGACCGAUCCUGAUGUCUUCGGAUGGAUUUGAGUAAGAGCAUAGCUGUUGGGACCCGAAAGAUGGUGAACUAUGCCUGGAUAGGGUGAAGCCAGAGGAAACUCUGGUGGAGGCUCGCAGCGGUUCUGACGUGCAAAUCGAUCGUCAAAUUUGGGUAUAGGGGCGAAAGACUAAU